rnacentral:lncRNA from 1 species
AUGCAGCCAGUAACUAUCUGUGAAAGGAUUUGCGAGUUGUAUUUUGCUUACAGAAUCCUUUGGCUCAUCUGCCUCCUGCUCCCGUCUGGAGCUUGGCCGUGUGGACCUGUGUAUGUGUGGUGGGGUCAUGUCGAGAUGAUGAGGGCCAGAAAGAAGAAGGACUCAUUGGCAACGCCGAAUGUCAAAAACAGUUUUCAGGGCUGGCUGUGUACAGUUUGUGCCCUGGGAAGAGGAGAUGGGAAGGCACACUGGAGAGACACCGUGCGUCCACAUUUUAAGCUGGCAGUAGGCACUCGUAUGGCUCAGAAUGGGGGUCCUGCAGUGCCUUCUGGCUUCCUGGCAUGCUGGAUGGUCCCAUGCGGAUGGAGCAGAGAGCUGAGCCAAGUGGCCUGCGAUACAGUGACAGUUCAGACCGUGUAA